rnacentral:rRNA from 1 species
UGGGGAAUAUUGGGCAAUGGGCGAAAGCCUGACCCAGCGACGCCGCGUGAAGGAAGAAGAUCUUCGGAUUGUAAACUUUAGUCAACAGGGAAGAAGAAAGUGACGGUACCUGUGGAGGAAGCCACGGCUAACUACGUGCCAGCAGCCGCGGUAAUACGUAGGUGGCGAGCGUUAUCCGGAAUUACUGGGUGUAAAGGGUGUGUAGGCGGGCUAGCAAGUCAGAUGUGAAAACUAAGGGCCUAACCCUUAGCCUGCAUUUGAAACUGUUGGUCUUGAGAGUGGGAGAGGUAAACGGAAUUCCCGGUGUAGCAGUGAAAUGCGUAGAUAUCGGGAGGAACAUCGGUGGCGAAGGCGGUUUACUGGACCAUUACUGACGCUGAGACACGAAAGCGUGGGGAGCAAACAGGAUUAGAUACCCUGGUAGU